rnacentral:misc_RNA from 1 species
UGCAGGACGCAGCAGUGGGAAUUUGGACAAUGAAACCUGGUCCAGCCAUCCGCGUGCAAAUGCGAUGAAGGCCUUCGGGUUGUAAGCACUUUGGCAGAAAGAAACGGCGCAGGAUAAUGCUCUCGUGCAGCUGGCGGUACCACAGAUAAGCACCGGCUAACUGAUGCUGGCAGCCGCGCGUUAAUACGUAGGGUGCAAGCGUUAAUCGGAAUUACUGGGCGUAGAGCGUGCGCAGGCGGCGGUUCGGAAGAAGAUGUGAAAUCCCGGAAAACGCUUUGGAACUGCAUUUUACUUCACCGAGCUAGAGAGUGUCAGGGAGAGUGGAAAUUCCGCGUGUGGCAGUGAGAUACGUAGAUAUGCGGAGAGAACCACCGAUGGCGAAGCAGCCUCUGGGGGAUAACACUGACGUAUUUUGGCGUGGGGAGCAAACGGAUUAGAUACCCCGGUAGU